GGAGCUCACAGCUCACUCCUCACACAGGACUGAGGUCUCUGGGGAAGGCAGGGCUGUGGUCUAGAAGAUGAGGCUUCUGUUUCUUCUCUUGUGCUUGGUGACUCCUCCCCAAGGUGUCUUGUCCCAGGUGCAGCUGCAGGAAUCAGGACCUGGACUGGUGAAACCCUCACAGACUCUGUCCCUCACCUGUGCUGUCUCGGGUGUCUCACUUACCAGUUAUGGUUGGAGCUGGAUCCGCCAGCCCCCAGGGAAAAGCCUGGAGUGGAUGGGAUACAUAUAUUCUGGUGGAAGCACAAGCUACAACCCAUCCUUCAAGAGCCGCAUCUCCAUCUCAAUAGACACAUCUAAGAAUCAGCUCUCCCUGCAGCUGAGUUCUGUGACCUCAGAGGACACAGCCACAUAUUACUGUACAAGUGACACAUUGAGGGGAACUCAGUGUGAACCCAGACACAAACCUCCCUUCAGGAGCAAACAGGACCAGCAGGGGGCACACAGCUCACAGCAAAAACAGCCUUAG